rnacentral:tRNA from 1 species
GACCAGGUAGCUCAGUUGGUUAGAGUGUUGUCUUCAUAAGCCAAGGUUGAGGGUUUGAUCCCUAGUCA